GAUGAACGCUGGCGGCGUGCCUAAUACAUGCAAGUCGAGCGAACGGACGAGAAGCUUGCUUCUCUGAUGUUAGCGGCGGACGGGUGAGUAACACGUGGAUAACCUACCUAUAAGACUGGGAUAACUUCGGGAAACCGGAGCUAAUACCGGAUAAUAUUUUGAACCGCAUGGUUCAAAAGUGAAAGACGGUCUUGCUGUCACUUAUAGAUGGAUCCGCGCUGCAUUAGCUAGUUGGUAAGGUAACGGCUUACCAAGGCAACGAUGCAUAGCCGACCUGAGAGGGUGAUCGGCCACACUGGAACUGAGACACGGUCCAGACUCCUACGGGAGGCAGCAGUAGGGAAUCUUCCGCAAUGGGCGAAAGCCUGACGGAGCAACGCCGCGUGAGUGAUGAAGGUCUUCGGAUCGUAAAACUCUGUUAUUAGGGAAGAACAUAUGUGUAAGUAACUGUGCACAUCUUGACGGUACCUAAUCAGAAAGCCACGGCUAACUACAUGCCAGCAGCCGCGGUAAUACGUAGGUGGCAAGCGUUAUCCGGAAUUAUUGGGCGUAAAGCGCGCGUAGGCGGUUUUUUAAGUCUGAUGUGAAAGCCCACGGCUCAACCGUGGAGGGUCAUUGGAAACUGGAAAACUUGAGUGCAGAAGAGGAAAGUGGAAUUCCAUGUGUAGCGGCGAAAUGCGCAGAGAUAUGGAGGAACACCAGUGGCGAAGGCGACUUUCUGGUCUGUAACUGACGCUGAUGUGCGAAAGCGUGGGGAUCAAACAGGAUUAGAUACCCUGGUAGUCCACGCCGUAAACGAUGAGUGCUAAGUGUUAGGGGGUUUCCGCCCCUUAGUGCUGCAGCUAACGCAUUAAGCACUCCGCCUGGGGAGUACGACCGCAAGGUUGAAACUCAAAGGAAUUGACGGGGACCCGCACAAGCGGUGGAGCAUGUGGUUUAAUUCGAAGCAACGCGAAGAACCUUACCAAAUCUUGACAUCCUUUGACAACUCUAGAGAUAGAGCCUUCCCCUUCGGGGGACAAAGUGACAGGUGGUGCAUGGUUGUCGUCAGCUCGUGUCGUGAGAUGUUGGGUUAAGUCCCGCAACGAGCGCAACCCUUAAGCUUAGUUGCCAUCAUUAAGUUGGGCACUCUAAGUUGACUGCCGGUGACAAACCGGAGGAAGGUGGGGAUGACGUCAAAUCAUCAUGCCCCUUAUGAUUUGGGCUACACACGUGCUACAAUGGACAAUACAAAGGGCAGCGAAACCGCGAGGUCAAGCAAAUCCCAUAAAGUUGUUCUCAGUUCGGAUUGUAGUCUGCAACUCGACUACAUGAAGCUGGAAUCGCUAGUAAUCGUAGAUCAGCAUGCUACGGUGAAUACGUUCCCGGGUCU
rnacentral:rRNA from 1 species